rnacentral:rRNA from 1 species
AUGCACGCUGGCGGCGUGCCUAAUCCAUGCAAGUCGCGCGCACAGACGAGGAGCUUGCUCCUCUGACGUUAGCGGCGGACGGGUGAGUAACACGUGGAUAACCUACCUAUAAGACUGGGAUAACUUCGGGAAACCGGAGCUAAUACCGGAUAAUAUAUUGAACCGCAUGGUUCAAUAGUGAAAGACGGUUUUGCUGUCACUUAUAGAUGGAUCCGCGCCGCAUUAGCUAGUUGGUAAGGUAACGGCUUACCAAGGCAACGAUGCGUAGCCGACCUGAGAGGGUGAUCGGCCACACUGGAACUGAGACACGGUCCAGACUCCUACGGGAGGCAGCAGUAGGGAAUCUUCCGCAAUGGGCGAAAGCUUGACGGAGCAACGCCGCGUGAGUGAUGAAGGUCUUCGGAUCGUAAAACUCUGUUAUUAGGGAAGAACAAAUGUGUAAGUAACUAUGCACGUCUUGACGGUACCUAAUCAGAAAGCCACGGCUAACUACGUG